CUCUCCCCGGGCGAGUCCUGCAUCCUGCUCGGGCCCAGCCCCGCGGGGCAGCCCGCCAGGCUCCUUAGCAUGCGGCUCCUGUUGCCGAGGAGCAGCGAGAAGCCGUGGUCGGCGGCUGCUCCGCGUCGGUGCGGCGUGCCCUCCAGCCCGGCUCGCAAUAGGAUUUCUCCCACGGGAUAACGCUCAGCAGGAUCGCGUCCCAACGCCGACGCUUCGCUGAUAAGCCUGCGGCCAAGGCUCCAGCGCUAGGACAAAAGAGGAGAUUUCUCCUCCUGGCAGGCUUUUUCUGCCUUGAAUGACAGAGAGGGCUCCCGAGGCUCCUUCCCCGCCCGAGUUGGGACACAAUGGAGCUUUUCAGGCUGAGUCUGAGUUGCAUUUGCCUUCUGCCUUGGCUUGAGGGUAAAACCAUCGAUUCAUCAAAGACUGAUGCCAUGGAGAGGGAAUCUUCUGUGGGCUUCACUGACCCAUCUCUGGUGAAUAAAUUGAACAGCACGGUGGUUCCUGUGAAGACUAAACAGGCAUACCUCCCAGAACACGAGGAUGCGUCGUACAAUCACUCUAAAAAGCAUCAUGGAAAUCGAGGGAAAACCACUGGGGCUAGGCUUGCAGGCACCAACUGGAAGACGGCAAUGCUAGUCCUCAGCCCCUUGGCAUUCAUACUGGGAUUAAUAAUACUGACACUCAAUGUUCAUUACAACAAAAAGAAGAAAAUCCUUUCUGCUCUGAAGAACCCCCCAGCCAGCAACAGCAGAGCUGACUUACGAGAGACAUCUCCCUUAAGAAGAUGCCCCCAGCCAUACCUCCCACCAUCUCGUUCCCCUUCCUUGCGGCAUGGAGAGAUACUCAUUGAGUGGAAAGAUGGAACAGUCACUCCUCUUUUCGAUAAUGCCAACUAUCAGGUGGACUAGCACUGAAAUAACACAGCUGCCGUUUCACUUGUUACUCUUCACCAUUCUCACCAAGAAGAAAGCCUCCAUAGUGAACCUCCUCCCAGGCAUUACCAUUUUGUUUGGGAGAUGAAAGAGAUGGUUUUUUUUUUUCCCUUCUUUUUCUUCAAACACAGAAAUAACCCUAUGCAGCACAAGGUUGAAGCAAGCAGAGCAGACUUUUGUUUAGGCACCCAAUGCCUAAAUGCUUGGCUUUUCUAGUUAACAAAGCCCAAAUAUAGCAAAAUGAAGCUGGCAUCUUGCCAACUUCAAUCAUCUAUUGUCCUGAAUUUCUAGUUACUGAGCAUAUGAGAAAGUAAAUCCUUGGAGACAAAGUAUAAUGCAAGCUCUAGUGAUCUUUAAAUACUUUUUAAGUUUAAACUAGCUGCCAGCAGUCACAGAAGGCUGUUGAUUACUUUGUCAGUGUGUGAACUUAACUAAUAAGCACUGUCUUUAGGACUCAAACAUGAAUCUCCUCUAAACUAUCUGCCAAAAUACUCCCCCCACUAAGUUAACACAGCAAGUCAUUUUUCGAAAUUAAAAAACUGCACUCCACUCCUCUCUGCAUCACUGCAAGAGUCCUGCUGAGUGAUUAUCUGUCUUUCAAAAUAUUUAUGUACUUAAGAUCUACUGAACCUCAUUACAGUACACAUGCUCUUCCUUUAAGUAGAAUGACAAGUUAAUGGUGCUGCUUGUUGGGGAUAUUAACUGCCCAUUUUAUACCAGUUUCAAUUUGAUUUUCUGUAGUCGCAUGGAAUAGUCCAUGAAUAGAUAUACUGCUCCCACCUAGAGCAGGAAUAGUUUUUGUUGUUAGUGUUUCGUGUUUUUUUUUUUUUCUAGAAAGAAGACACUCUUCAGCUUCUGCACUUCUUGUGUAAUUAUCUGUGACCUGUCGUGCUCAAUUCUGAUCUUGUGACUCAGUCAAACUUGCAAUGUCUUAGUGUGUUCCUGAUAUAUCCAUGAGUUUAUUCCUCCCUUCUUGCUGAUCUUGUGAUGUUGUAAACUGUAAUCACAGCUAUAAAUCAGGAAAUAUCUGGAGAAAGAAAUACUAACACCAGCACAUUACAUGUACGAGCUGCAUCACUAUAUUUGUUCAGUAGUGCAAGAGAAACUUACCUCUUACUUAAACACUUCUCACUUUUUUCUAAGUGAAGAUAUGCUAUUUCAGUGGAGCUUUGACUUCACAAAAUCACAGAAUGCUGAGGUUGGCAGGACCUCUGGCUCCACCUGGUCCAACCAGGACAAGUGGAGACAUUCAGAAAAGGUUGGCCAGGACCACACCCGGACAGUUGUUGAAGAUCUCCAACGAGGAGAUUCCACAACCUCUGUGGGCAACGUGUGCUAAUGCUGUUAUUCAAACAACACAGAAGUGUUUCUUGAUGCUCAGAAAGACCCUUUUGUGUCUCAGUUUGUGCCUCCUGCCUUUCAUCCUAGCACUGGGUACAACUGAAAAAAAGCCUGACUCCAUCCCCUUUGCAGUUCUCUACAGUUUGAUUUUAUUUGAUCUAUGGCAGACAGAAGUUCUCCAAGGAAUUUGCCUUGGGGACACAGACCCCCAGCCUGGUGAAAAGUUAACUGCUAUAUUAUUAAGCGCUUGGCUGGUCUCAAAAAAAAAAAAAAAAAAAUUUAUAUAUAUAUAAAACAGUUCAGGGUGUAAAUUUACAGACAUUGGUUAUAAGUAUCUUCCCCAGGCAGAUUAUUGUCUAUUUUUUUACUGGAGCAUUUCCCAAGUGCUUCUUGGGAAAAUACUUUAGUUCUAGACAUGGGCAAAGGAAGAACACUUUCUUCACCAGUAACCAAAAAACACAAACAACAUUCAGAACUACAUUCUGACUUUCCAAUACUACCCUUUAAAACCAAUUCAAAGACUCUGUGUACACUUCUAGGUCAAAUUUCCAAAUGUGUAAGCAUCCUUUUACACAUAAAAAUUAUGAGAAUACAUUCUGUACACACACUGCUCAAAAUGCCCACAAGAAUGCCUGAUCAAUUACCAUAUUUGUAUAUUUUUUAACUUCUUCUUUGCCCAAUUAAAUUGCUUGAAAUUCUGCCUAUGGAGCACCCUGACUUACACACAGCACUUGCUCACCUCCAAAAUGCUGAUGCACUUAGGGAGCUACGCACAGAGCAGUGCCAUUAAAACACAUAUACGGAGUUCAACAAGUGCUGUGCUUCCCAGAGAAGCAAAUGUUCACUACUGCUAAAUGGGCAGAAUAUCUGACUUGUUAAAGAUGCUCUGUAAUUCACACUUAACAUGCAAAUCUUUCCCAUAAACGUGAAGGCAAUCACACAACUGUUUGCAUAGUACUGAUUAAAUGGCAGCUUAAACAAUAAUGUAAAAAAUAAUUCUGUGAAACUGCACAGGCAUCUGACUGUUUUCUACCCCUCCCCCUUACUAGUUGUUAUCUUCUAGAUACUUCUUACUGGCUUACUUAGAUUAUAUGCUGGAGACCAAAUUUUCCCAGAUAUGGGCAAGGGAGCUGAAAAAUGUGGCAUUUCAUCAUGAGAGGUCUCAAACAUCACAUUUUCUGUUGUCCACCAGGAAAGACUCUGAAAUAGCUGAUAGGUUUGGGUUGGGGAUGGACCAGGUGACACUGGGAGAUGCCUUCCACAUUCUGCUUCCAUCUAUUAGCUGAGUAACACGCAGAGCAGUUGCACAAGCCUGAGCACUGUUCACUUUCUGCCAUCACUUGAAUGUAAUGCUUUUUACAGUGUUAACAGUUGAAAUAAAACUUACUUGUGAAGUGGAAUAAAACUAGAU
rnacentral:lncRNA from 1 species